GGAAGAAGAACACAAUGAGCUAUAUUUGAUCAAUAUUCCAAUUUUUCAAAAUCUGUGUAGGAAUUUUGUCUCCUAUAAUGACCCCACAUUAAUAAUUGCUGUUUGAGAAAGUUCCUCUAUUUUUGCUUUCAACUCAAAGCCUCUUGCAGUCCCUCCAAAAUUUCAUAGCUACAAACUGGGACAUGUGUGACCAAGCAACAUAUGACUGCAACUAAGAAGGCAAAAGAUACUAAGGAGGAUGAGGACAUAAAAGCUAGGAAGAUAGCUGUUUGCAGCAGCUGAAGUCAAAUGUUAAAGAAGCGAGAGGAGAAAAGAGAAAUUAGGCAAUUUUAAAAGCAGCUUAAAAAUAGGAUGACAGAAAAUUAAUUGGUACCAUCCUCACAAAAUCCAGACAGUUGAUGCAUAUGAUUUUUGAGCACCAGGAAUGAACAAUCUGUAAAUGGCUAACAUUUCAGUUGGCUAUCCACAGCCAUAGGUUUUGCAUCUCUGGAUUCAAUGACGGACUACUUGAAAAUAUGAGUGGAAUAUUGAUUUUGUCAUUUUAUAUAACAUUUUCAGCACUUCUUAUGAAUGUUGUAAGACUCUAAAAUGUCAAAGGCUUCUGAAAACAGUCACAAUUUACCCAAUUUUCUGAUUAUUUCAAGAAAAAACACAAAGUGAGGCCAGCAUCUCAUGUUUCUAAGUUCUAGAGUGUUAAAUCACUUAUUCAGGAAGGAAGCUUUGAGAUGAAUCUUGGAAACAACAAUUAAUAUUUUGGUUUGUCAGGUUAUUUUUUCUGGUUGGAGAAGCGGGGGGGGGGGGGGUAUUGCUUAAUGGAAAUCCAUUGUGAUUUACAUUUUGAAAAAUCGUGUCAGGAGCAACUUGAGAAACUGCAAGUCGCUUCUGGUGUGAGAGAAUUGGCCAUCUGCAAGGAUGUUACCCAGGGACACCCGGAUGUUUGAUGUUUUACCAUCCUGUGGGAGGCUUCUCUCAUGUCCCCAAUUGAGAAGCUGGAGCUAAUAGAUGAGAGCUCACUCCACUCCUCGGAUUCGAACUGCCAACGCCAGCAACUUCAAGCUAACAAUUUGAGGAUGAAUGCAGUCAAUAUCCAAGAGGGAAUUAUUCUGUGUUCCAAGACUGGAAUCAGAGCUCCUUGCUCCACCUGUUGCUCAGCAAUGGUUCCUACAAGCGAGUCAAAUGCAACCAGGAGCACAGUUUCGACACCAAGAUCUGUGGUAAAGGCUUCAAGAGACCCUCUUUCUUGUAUAUCCAUUUUCUCAUCCAUUUAGAUACCCGCUCUUAUCCAUAUCAAUUCUCUAGUGAAACAUUCCACCAGAAAUCUGACAUGAAGAAGCAGCCAUUCAGACAUUCUGGUGAGUCCUAAAUUCUUGGUGUCCUUUAAGCAUCCUAGUCUUCCUUUCUUGCUUUUGGUGAUAAAAAGACAUCAGUGCCAUUUGAUUAAUGGUUUCUUAUGUUGGGAUGAUCUCCAAGCAAAGCAUGUUAUACGCUUCACUGGUGAACCUUGUAGCAGUGUUGAAGGGGUUGGGGUGUGAAAACAUGUUCUGUCAUUUCAGCCAUCUUCAAAUGAAUGCACUCAUGAUGUUUUGAAAUACAGCUCCCAUAUAGUUUCUACAAUUCAAGCAAGUUUAAAGGUAUCUUGUGUCCUCUGAUGUCCUUCUUAUGAUUUUCCUCAGGUGAGAAGCCCCAGAAGCCACAGGGAUGUGGCAGAGCUUCCAGCCAGAGUUGCAGCCUCAUCACUCCCAGUCGGAAACAUGCCAGCUUCCAGAGAAAGGUGGAUCUGAAGAAGCAUUGGCAGACACAACACGACCUGAAGUGAAAGCCAUGUGGAAUGAGGGAAAUCAACAGAAACAUUACGUCAAUGCAUGGUCCCAUCUUUCUAAUGCAGUGGUUGUCAACUUGUGGGUCCCCAGGUGUUUUGGCC
rnacentral:lncRNA from 11 species